UGCAGGGAGAUGGACAAAGGUAAGGAAGAGAUGUGACCUCCAGUUCUGGCCCCAACUAGGACCUGACAAGGCCUUUCUCCAGUCUAAUAGGAGCCUGAGAAACAGUGAUGCCAAAGACCUCAAGCAGCACCUGUGAUGGGAAAAGAUGACGGUGCUGGUCAGAAUGGCUCCUGUCCAGACCCAACUUGCUCAUACUCAGCUCUAUGAUGAGAAGCAGGACUUCUUGUCCCAAGCCGUAACAGGGGGUAGGAACCAUCUCAGGAUAAGGAAGUGCUCCGUCUGCCUUGUCCCACUUCUGUGACUGCAGAGUAUCUGACUAGAUGACCAAUUGGCUGGCUGGCGGAUGGAUGGAUGGGUGAAAUCCAUGUAGGAGAGCAGGAAAGCUCCCCCAGAAGAACUGGCAUGAAGAAGAAGAUGGUUAUGCUUCGGAACCUUUAAGAGUCCCGGGUCUGGAAUCAAUGAGCUGAGAAUUAUCUUUCAGGCCUUCUUUUCCUUCCUUCCAGCGAUUAACUCAACUCUAUCUAAACUUCCCCCAGCCCAAUUUUCUGCCUGGGCUGAAUGGCUGCUCACCCAGCAGUCCCUGCCGCUGCUUCUUUUCCGCUCUCUCUCCCAGCCCGCUGCCUCUCCAAUCCUCUUCCCCACCACACCCUUGGAUUUACGUAACUGAGUAAUUGUGUGAUGCUAUAAAACUAAUUUGCACUUCUGCUUGGGCGGGGAAGUGACCAGAGCUUUGCAGUGCCUUAAAAGGCAGAGGAAAGGAGCCCACCCCAACCCCAGGUCCCCCUCAGACUCAAAGACCUAGUGGCCAGCCCCAUCUGCAAGGGCCCAGCACCAGCAGCUGUACCAUAAACCAGGCCAAACACCAGUCACAGGAAG
rnacentral:lncRNA from 9 species